ACCGAUUCGAACGUAGAGUUUGAUCCUGGCUCAGGACGAACGCUGGCCGCCGUGCUUAACACAUGCAAGUCGAACGCUGAAGCACUGUGCUUGCACGGUGUGGAUGAGUGGCGAACGGGUGAGUAACACGUGAGUAACCUGCCCCUGACUUCAGGGAUAAGCUUGGGAAACUGGGUCUAAUACCGGAUGUGACUACUGGCCGCAUGGUCUGGUGGUGGAAAGGGUUUUACUGGUUGGGGAUGGACUCCGCGGCCUAUCAGUUGUUGGUGGGGUAGUGGCCUACCAAGACGACGACGGGUAGCCGGCCUGAGAGGGCGACCGGCCACACUGGGACUGAGACACGGCCCAGACUCCUACGAGGAGGCAGCAGUGGGGAAUAUUGCACAAUGGGGGGAACCCUGAUGCAGCGACGCCGCGUGCGGGAUGACGGCCUUCGGGUUGUAAACCGCUUUCAGUAGGGAAGAAGCGAAAGUGACGGUACCUGCAGAAGAAGUACCGGCUAACUACGUGCCAGCAGCCGCGGUAAUACGUAGGGUACAAGCGUUGUCCGGAAUUAUUGGGCGUAAAGAGCUCGUAGGUGGUUGGUCGCGUCUGCUGUGGAAACGCAACGCUUAACGUUGCGCGUGCAGUGGGUACGGGCUGACUAGAGUGCAGUAGGGGAGUCUGGAAUUCCUGGUGUAGCGGUGAAAUGCGCAGAUAUCAGGAGGAACACCGGUGGCGAAGGCGGGACUCUGGGCUGUAACUGACGCUGAGGAGCGAAAGCAUGGGGAGCGAACAGGAUUAGAUACCCUGGUAGUCCAUGCCGUAAACGUUGGGAACUAGGUGUGGGGUCCGUUCCACGGAUUCCGUGCCGGAGCUAACGCAUUAAGUUCCCCGCCUGGGGAGUACGGCCGCAAGGCUAAAACUCAAAGGAAUUGACGGGGGCCCGCACAAGCGGCGGAGCAUGCGGAUUAAUUCGAUGCAACGCGAAGAACCUUACCAAGGCUUGACAUACACUGGAAUCGGCUAGAGAUAGUCGCGUCUUUCGGACUGGUGUACAGGUGGUGCAUGGUUGUCGUCAGCUUGUGUCGUGAGAUGUUGGGUUAAGUCCCGCAACGAGCGCAACCCUCGUUCUAUGC
rnacentral:rRNA from 1 species